UCCUCAUCAAUUCCUGCUCAUUCCUGGUGCUCAAGCAGGGAGUCAAAGGAUGAGUUUGCUCUGGGUCGAUGAAUGUUUACUUCUCCAGAGCUGUUCUCUUCCUCCGACUCACGGUCCACCUCGGCUUUGACCGCACCGCUCCCCUUUUCGGAUUCAGCUUUCUUUCGGCCUGUCUUAUCACCACAGGCCACAGAUUAAGGACCUAGCGGAUCCGCUCAAGAAAUGUGUGUGUGAUAAUCUUUCACAAAAACACCUAGACUUAGCCAAGCGGAGUUUAGUCUCCACCAAAGCCUUGUUUCAAACGUCCUGUGCCAGGCUUGGAAGGAUCCAACUACAAAGACCGAACAGAGCUCAGGGAAACCCAUGGAAGAGGAGGCAGGAGUGGGAAACAGAAAGAAAAUGGAGGACACCAAGAGAACAAGACCCUCUGAAACAAGUGAGCAAAGCUGAUAUGAAUCCACAGAGACGGGAGACUCAAGCACGAUGCCUACACAGGGCUUGGAGUUCCCUGGACUUGGGGUGAGAAAAGAACCAUGAGGAGAGAGAGAAGAAGGUGGAGAAAGGAGGAAGCUGCCAUGGGGUAGGUGAACUAUGAAAACAUAACCAUGGGGAUAGCCAAUUAGGAGUUAAGAGCUGCCGAAUGGAACGUGGUAAGUUAUGACUUGUGUUAUA